AUCGGCCCGUCACGUAAACGUGCCCUGCUGCAUCAUUUCGGGACCCUGAAGGAGAUCGAGCGGGCCUCGGUGGCAGAUCUGGGCAAGGUUCCGGGGGGGAGCGCUGAAAGUGCUCGUAAAAUCUUCGAUUUCUUCCAUCCGGGGAACGGUUGAACGUCUCGCCGCAGCCAGCAUUUAGACUUACCGGAAAUGCGCCCACCGGGCUGUUGACGCGGGCACUUUCGC
rnacentral:misc_RNA from 1 species